rnacentral:rRNA from 1 species
CAUCACGAGUUUGAUUCUGGCUCACAUAUUCUUUUGAACCAUUUUUACACAUGCAAGGCCCUCGCCCCCGUAAGUUCACCUUUUCCAUAAAUAUUCUCUAUUUCUUACGCCUGCAGUGAUUAAUUCUUUUCAAAUAACUAAAGUUAGUUAAGGGAUCGUUCAAUCCUGGUGAAAAAAUCUGUGCCAGCCUUCGCGGUUAAACAGAGACCUGGUAGAAUAUUACCGGGUUAGUGAAUAUUUUUUAUGGUUAAAACGAAAACGUAUGAGGUCCAAUUCUCCUUUAUAUUUCUUCCUAAAUAACCUUAAUCAUUUUCACGAAAGCUUAAUUAAAAACAAGGAUUAGAUACCCUUUUAUUCUAAGCUGUAAAAUUGUCCCUAGGUACUAAAAGCUCAUGCUUGAAACCCAAAGAACUUGGCGGUGCUUCAAUCCUCUCAGGGGAGCCUGUGCCUUAAAUCGAUAGUCCACGUUGUUCCUCAACCUUCUUUUGUACUCAGUCUGUAUAUUGCCGUCGUCAGUUUACCUUGAAAAAGUUAGUGAACCCCAAAAUUUCGUCAUUUUUACGUCAGGUCAAGAUGCAACCUAUAAGAAGGAGGUCAUGGGCUACAAUCUUAACUCAGAUUUCACGGAUUCUUAGUAUAACAUCAAGAUGAAGGUGGACUUGAAAGUAAUGCUUCUGCUUCUUCAUAUGAAUACUUGGCAAUCUGAAGCGUGCACACAUCGCCCGUCGCUCUCGCCGAAAGGGGAGAUAAGUCGUAACAUAGUAGACGUAACGGAAGUUGUGUCU